rnacentral:rRNA from 1 species
UCUUAAGAGCAUUUGGUGGAUGCCUCGGUGUCGAGAGGCGAAGAAGGACGUGGCACUCUGCGAUAAGCCGCGGGGAGAUGAGAGCAAUCUUUGAUCCGCGGAUUUCCGAAUGGGGAAACCCGGCCCUUUAGGGUCAUCGUACGGUGAAUCCAUAGCCGUGCGAGGCGAACCCGGGGAACUGAAACAUCUCAGUACCCGGAGGAAAGGACAUCAACCGAGACUCCGCUAGUAGUGGCGAGCGAACGCGGACCAGGCCAGUGGCCAGAGAGUAAGAACCGGAAGCGUCUGGAAAGGCGCGCCUUAGUGGGUGAUAGCCCCGUACGGGUAGAAAGCUCUUUGGUCCUCGAGUAGGGCGGGACACGUGAAAUCCUGUCUGAACAUGGGGGGACCACCCUCCAAGGCUAAGUACUCCUCGACAACCGAUAGUGAACGAGUACCGUGAGGGAAAGGUGAAAAGCACCCCGACGAGGGGAGUGAAAGAGACCCUGAAA